rnacentral:rRNA from 1 species
GACGAACGCUGGCGGCGUGCUUAACACAUGCAAGUCGAACGGUGAAGCGCCUUCCUUUUUGGUGGGUGUGGAUGAGUGGCGAACGGGUGAGUAACACGUGAGUAACCUGCCCCCUUCUCCUGGAUAACCGCAUGAAAGUGUGGCUAAUACGGGAUAUUCUGGGUCUGUCGCAUGAUGGGUCUGGGAAAGAUAUUGUUUCGGUGGGGGAUGGGCUCGCGGCCUAUCAGCUUGUUGGUGGGGUGAUGGCCUACCAAGGCGGUGACGGGUAGCCGGCCUGAGAGGGUGGACGGCCACACGGGGACUGAGACACGGCCAAGACUCCUACGGGAGGCAGCAGUGGGGAAUAUUGCACAAUGGGCGCAAGCCUGAUGCAGCGACGCCGCGGGAGGGAUGGAGGCCUGCGGGUUGUGAACCUCUUUCGCCAGUGAAGCAGGCCUGCCUCGUUUGUGGGUGGGUUGACGGUAGCUUGAUAAGAAGCGCCGGCUAACUACGUG